rnacentral:rRNA from 1 species
UCGCCUGUUUAACAAAAACAUAGCUAUAUGAUUUAAUAUAUAGUUAUUUCUGCUCCAUGAUAAUUAAAUAGCCGCAGUACCCUGACUGUGCAAAGGUAGCAUAAUCAGUUGGCUUUUAAUUAGAGUCUGGUAUGAAUGAAAAUAUGGGUGGUAACUGUCUCUGACAUAUUAAUUUGAACUUUUUUUAGCAAGUGCAAAUACUUGCGAGGGUAAAAAAGACGAGAAGACCCUAGAAACUUGAAGUAGUUUUUGUUGGGGCGACAAAAUUACAUUUAACUGAUUGUAUAAAACAUGACAUUUAUUUGCAAGAAUAAGUUACUCUAGGGAUAACAGCAUAAUUUUAACAGUUUGUGACCUCGAUGUUGGAUUAGGUAUUAUAUUCUUAAGGUAAGAAUAUAAAAUGCUCUGUUCGAGCAGUUUCACCUACAUGAUCUGAGUUCAGACCGGCGUAAGCCAGAGAUCUGAGUUCAGACCGGCGUAAGCC